CGCACGGGUGAGUAACACGUAUGGAACCUGCCCUAUGCAGGGGGAUAAGCGGAAGAAAUUCCGUCUAAUACCGCAUAACACCAUUUGGAGACAUCUCCAGGGGGGUCAAAGGAGGCGACUCCGGCAUAGGAUGGCCAUGCGUCGCAUUAGCUAGUCGGCGGGGGUAACGGCCCACCGAGGCGACGAUGCGUAGGGGGUUCUGAGAGGAAGGUCCCCCACACUGGUACUGAGACACGGACCAGACUCCUACGGGAGGCAGCAG
rnacentral:rRNA from 1 species